UAGGGAAUCUUCGGCAAUGGGGGCAACCCUGACCGAGCAACGCCGCGUGAGUGAAGAAGGUUUUCGGAUCGUAAAGCUCUGUUGUAAGUCAAGAACGGGUGUGAGAGUGGAAAGUUCACACUGUGACGGUAGCUUACCAGAAAGGGACGGCUAACUACGUGCCAGCAGCCGCGGUAAUACGUAGGUCCCGAGCGUUGUCCGGAUUUAUUGGGCGUAAAGCGAGCGCAGGCGGUUUGAUAAGUCUGAAGUUAAAGGCUGUGGCUCAACCAUAGUUCGCUUUGGAAACUGUCAAACUUGAGUGCAGAAGGGGAGAGUGGAAUUCCAUGUGUAGCGGUGAAAUGCGUAGAUAUAUGGAGGAACACCGGUGGCGAAAGCGGCUCUCUGGUCUGUAACUGACGCUGAGGCUCGAAAGCGUGGGGAGCGAACAGGGUUAGAUACCCUGGUAGUCCACGCCGUAAACGAUGAGUGCUAGGUGUUGGAUCCUUUCCGGGAUUCAGUGCCGCAGCUAACGCAUUAAGCACUCCGCCUGGGGAGUACGACCGCAAGGUUGAAACUCUAAAGUGAAUUGAC
rnacentral:rRNA from 1 species